ensembl:lncRNA
AUAGCAAACUCCACCAGUCGGUGGAAGCCUCCUAUACCCACUGAGACACGGGCUGAGGGGUCAGUGUGGGUCAGAAGAGGGUCCUGAGGUCUUGUGGGAGGUUCAAACAGACCUGAGCUACACCAAAGCAUCACGAGAUUCACCCAUCAGCAGAAGCUGACUCAUGGAGGGGAUUUUCCUGGUGUUUUCAUUUAAUGUAGCUGAAAGGAGACACUCAAAGACCUGACUGUACAGCUGCGUGGCAGCUACAAUUUCCUGUUUAUGCUGAAUGUAGACAAACGGUGACCUAACAUCAUCCAUACCAACUAGUAUGCAGUUCAGAGACACUAUUAAAAUAAAUAAGAGUUCACACAGCAAUGACACCCUCAAUUCCAUGCCAUUUGAACCUGAACUUCAUUCACUUCAUUGCGUUAGCAGCUGAGAACUUGCAGAUACAGAAAUCAUGACAAAUACACACACUUUCCUUCCUGCAUUUUGUUGGCAUUGCCUUCAUGAUAGCUGAGAGCAUUCAGCCUUACUUUCACCCACAGCUGCACUGACUUAAGGAAAGAGUGACUUCAAACCCAUUUAUUCAGAUGCUGGCAGAAGCCCAUGCGAUAUGUUUAUUUUGGUUUCGCUGACAUAGACUGGGAAUACGCAGCAAAGCAAAAUUAAACAUGAGUAAGACCCUCCUAAGUUGGAAUAAAGCUGUCUGCAUUGUGAACGCUUAAGUAAAACUGGUCUGUAUUUAUUAUCCAACCGUGUUAUCCUCACUUUGCAUCUAGAAGUGACCCCUCUUCAGAGACCCCUCUGUUUUGCUGGUAAAGCAUAAGGUGGGCUGUGGGCUGGUACAACCCUGCUGAGCCGUUCUGAGACAACUGCAGGCCAAUGGAUGCUUUGGGGGGGAAAUUCUGUUCAGCACCCCAAGAAAAAAAAAAAGAAGUUAACCUUCAUUUUCUAUUUGGGAGAACAAAAUGGUUUAUAAACUGUAGGCGAACCUCUAAUCUGGUACAUCACAACAUCCGUGAAAUCACUUGGAAAAGAGCAGCACAGGGGAAGAAGGCGUUAUAAAUCAUCUAGAAGGAGAAACGCAGACCCCGAGCCCACCUCGUGCUGUGGGCAGAGCACAUACCUGUUUUUCUGCCUACUGAGCAGCAGUGUUAUUAUUUUAAACUUUUACACAGGCAAUCACUGCUGUCUGCGCCACGGCGAUCUAUUAUCAGAGGAGUUGGGUU